CAAAAAGGGGACGGAGGGGAUUAAGUCGUUUCUGGCACUAUUGGGCCGGAAGCGACUUAAUCCCCUCCGUCCCCUUUUUU
rnacentral:antisense_RNA from 1 species